AUUGAACGCUGGCGGCAGGCCUAACACAUGCAAGUCGAACGGUAACAGGAAGAAGCUUGCUUCUUUGCUGACGAGUGGCGGACGGGUGAGUAAUGUCUGGGAAACUGCCUGAUGGAGGGGGAUAACUACUGGAAACGGUAGCUAAUACCGCAUAACGUCGCAAGACCAAAGAGGGGGACCUUCGGGCCUCUUGCCAUCGGAUGUGCCCAGAUGGGAUUAGCUAGUAGGUGGGGUAACGGCUCACCUAGGCGACGAUCCCUAGCUGGUCUGAGAGGAUGACCAGCCACACUGGAACUGAGACACGGUCCAGACUCCUACGGGAGGAAGCAGUGGGGAAUAUUGCACAAUGGGCGCAAGCCUGGUGCAGCCAUGCCGCGUGUAUGAAGAAGGCCUUCGGGUUGUAAAGUACUUUCAGCGGGGAGGAAGGGAGUAAAGUUAAUACCUUUGCUCAUUGACGUUACCCGCAGAAGAAGCACCGGCUAACUCCGUG
rnacentral:rRNA from 1 species